CACUUUGUUCGAAUGUGGAAUCAGAUGGACACGGCUGGUCUUUAAUAAAAGAAGGAGCAGCGAGAACCACUGAGACUACAGCCAUAAGCAUAACAAUGGCAAAGAGGCACAACUUCAUAUUUGUAUAAUUAUUGUAUGUCCACUUGUCUCGAGACUGCACAGAUAUUGUACA